AUUUUCAGGUUUAGAAUAGUUCACCAGUGAAGUCAUCUCAACCAGCACAGGGCCUUGACUCCUAACAACAAUCACACGAACUUGGAAGAGGAGCCUUCCCCAACUGAACCUUCGCUUGAGACCUCGUCCUUGGCCAUCCUCUACAUCUGGAUUCAUGAUACAGAGAAACUGUUUCAAAUAAUUCAUCAGUGAAUUCUUCUCAACCUGGUCAAUCAUGUGAACUUAGAAGAUGAUUCCUCCCCAGCUGAUCCUCAGGUGAGACAUCAGCCUUGGCCAUCAUCUACAUCUGGAUUCCUGACCCAGAGAAACUGCCUCUCUGGAUGGUGACUAUAACCUAUAGCCUUGCCCAAUAUGACUCAGGAUUUGGUACUGGCUGUGCCUUUCAUGGGAUGCUUACUUAUCCUGGUCGAUGGCCUAAAGCCCAACCGUCCAGCUUAUAUCCAGGGUCUCAAGCCACCCAGGCUGGAGUGCAGUGGCACAAUUAUGGCUCACUGUAGCCUCACCUUCCUGGGAUCAAGCAAUCUUCUUUCUUCAGCCUCCAGAGGAGCUGGGACCACAGAUCCUUUGGCAUUUGAGAGUUGCUUUGUGUAUACGGUCCUUUAACGGAGCAAAUGGCCAGCCAGGAAACCAAAGUAUGGACAAGGGGAAAGAAGCGUCUGUGGAGGAAGUUUUACAAGCGCCCUCCUCAUCCAUUUGGGUGGUGUUGCCCAUAUGCUACAUGUCUGUGGACCACUAUGUGUGUUUAAAGCUUUUUAGUAAAACGUUACUAAAAACUAUGACUCACUGUGGUGAAAAAGGUGGCAAAACAGUGACAACAACUUGUCAUUGCUACAGCAACACGGAGAUGCAUUGACACCCUUCUUCAAUCCAGAGGAUGGGCCAUCAACUCACAAAAGUACAAGGCCUGGAACCAGCUGCAAAGUUCCUAUGGAUCACUUGGCCAGACCGUGAUCAUGGGCUACAUUCUCCGUACCAGCUUCAUAGCUCCAGUGAGAAAAUAAAUUCCUGCAUCCAGGAGAUGUGGAGUAAGAGAUACAGCUGCCCUUGACCAUAUUUCUUACUUCCGAGAAGAUCGUAGCAGUAAUUCAGGUUAUUGGGGAACAGGUGGUUUGGGUUACAUGAAAUCUCAUCCAGGAUACCUCAUCACAGGCUGGAGUGCAGUGUCAUGAGCUUGGCUCACUACAGCCUCCAUCUUCUGUGCUUAAGGAUCCUUCCCUCUCAACCUCCAAGGUAGCUGAGACUACAGGCAACAUUCGAAACCCAGGUGCCACUCCUUCAGGAAGGUACCAUCAAGCUCCAAGGACUCAUCCUCUUUCUCCUUCCCCACUACCUAGUCAUUAGAGCGUCAGCAUCCACUUCCUGAAAGGAAGAUGCCUGUUUUUCACAUAUCCCAGAAAGCCUCAUUUUAGGACAGCAUUUAGCAGAGUGUAUUCAGGAUCCCACUAACCUUUUCGGAAGACAUGACUUCCAGAUGAUAUAAGGCAAGAAUAAGAAAUUUCAGUGACAGGGAACAGAAAUCAUAUUUCUGCAUUCAGGAUCAUGUUUUCUUGGCUCCAUCAGGAACUGUGCAGGACUGUGCACUCUGUUGAUACUCACAUGGUGGAAUUAUAUUGCCCUUGGCCAACCCUAAAGCCAUCAAGAUAGCAGGUUUGGAAUAAUUCACUGUCGAAGUCUUCUUGAGCUGAGCAGUCAUGUGAGCUUGGAAGAUGAUCCCUCUCCAGCUGAUCCUUCAGCUCAGGCCAUCAUCUACAUCUGGAUUCCUGACCCGGAGAAACUAUGAGUAAUGUGUGCUGCUUUUGAGCCACUAAGCUACAUGGUAAUAGGCUAUGCUUCAAUAAACAAUAAUACACUUGAUGAU
rnacentral:lncRNA from 1 species